rnacentral:rRNA from 1 species
UAGGGAAUCUUCGGCAAUGGACGCAACUCUGACCGAGCAACGCCGCGUGAGUGAAGAAGGCCUUCGGAUCGUAAAACUCUGUCGUUAGAGAAGAAAAAGGACGUUCGUAAACGAACGUCUCCUGACGGUACCUAACCAGAAAGCCCCGGCUAACUACGUGCCAGCAGCCGCGGUAAUACGUAGGUGGCAAGCGUUGUCCGGAUUUAUUGGGCGUAAAGCGAGCGCAGGCGGUUUCUUAAGUUUGCUGUGAAAGCCCCCGGCUCAACCGGGGGGGGUCAUUUGAAACUGGGGGACUUGAGUACAGGAGAGGGUAGUGGAAUUCCAGGUGUAGCGGUGAAAUGCGUAGAUAUAGGGAGGAACACCAGUGGCGAAGGCGGCUCUCUGGACUGUAACUGACGCUGAGGCUCGAAAGCGUGGGGAGCAAACAGG